rnacentral:rRNA from 1 species
CCUACGGGUGACAGCAGUGGGGAAUAUUGGACAAUGGGGGGAACCCUGAUCCAGCGACGCCGCGUGAGUGAAGAAGUAUUUCGGUAUGUAAAGCUCUAUCAGCAGGGAAGAAAGAAAUGACGGUACCUGACUAAGAAGCCCCGGCUAACUACGUGCCAGCAGCCGCGGUAAUACGUAGGGGGCAAGCGUUAUCCGGAUUUACUGGGUGUAAAGGGAGCGUAGACGGCGAUGCAAGUCUGAAGUGAAAGGCGGGGGCCCAACCCCCGGACUGCUUUGGAAACUGUAUGGCUGGAGUGCGGGAGAGGUAAGUGGAAUUCCUAGUGUAGCGGUGAAAUGCGUAGAUAUUAGGAGGAACACCAGUGGCGAAGGCGGCUUACUGGACUGUAACUGACGUUGAGGCUCGAAAGCGUGGGGAGCAAACAGGAUUAGAUACCCCUGUAGUC